CUCCAGCGGUGGAUGAGGGUGCUCUGGUCCCAUGCCCUCUUACGUGAAGUGUUACCAAACUUGCUGACAUUUGCCAACCUGGAAGGAAAGACACCGUGUAAUGAUUCACCAACAUGCUGUGCAGGCCCAGCCACCAGCGCCAGCGCGGAGGACAAAGGGAAGCCAGCUGGGCUGUGGUUGGCAGAGCAGACUUCUUGAAAGAGGAAGAGCUCAAGCAGACAGUGGGUGUGGAAAAGAGGAGGAGAGUGAGGCCCGGAGAGGCUCCGGGGCUCAAAGCCAGGUGCGUCUGACUCCCACAUCACCGAUGGGAACGACUGCGUGUGACGGAGGCUCCUGCCUAUCUGAGCUCGUCAGUGGCUAUGGGGCCACGUCGAAGCCGUGCCCUUUCCUGGCUGGGCCCUCUGUCCUUCUCUGACCCUCAGCAUCGUCUGGUCUCAGCUGAGGGUUUGGGCACGCGCCAGCCACCUCCCCAUCGCCCUGCCCAGUCCCUGCGACCCUCUUCCUUCUGCCAGGUCACACUUCCCUGGCUCCUUCCUGCCCCUGACCACUUGCCUGGCCCCCGGGGGGCUGUGUUCCCUGGACUCGUUUUCCCACCAGUUCAAUCAGUCAACAGCAGGGGGCGCCCGGGUGGCGCCGUCGGUUAAGCGUCCGACUUCAGCCAGGUCACGAUCUCGCGGUC